rnacentral:rRNA from 1 species
UGGGGAAUUUUCCGCAAUGGGCGAAAGCCUGACGGAGCAAUGCCGCGUGGAGGUGGAAGGCCUACGGGUCGUCAACUUCUUUUCUCGGAGAAGAAACAAUGACGGUAUCUGAGGAAUAAGCAUCGGCUAACUUCUUGCUAG